AAUGAACGUUGGCGGCAUGGAUUAGGCAUGCAAGUCGAGCGAGAAGCUUAAGUUUGACGCUUCGGUUGAUUUCUUAAGUGGACAGCGGCGAAAGGGUGAGUAACGCGUAGUUACGUGCCCCAGGCUCUGGAAUAGCCUCGGGAAACUGAGGGUAAUGCCAGAUAAUAUCUCCGGAUCAAAGGUGCGAUUCCGGCCUGGGAGCGGACUGCGUCCUACUAGCUUGUUGGUGGGGUAAUGGCCUACCAAGGCUCCGAUGGGUAGCGGGCGUGAGAGCGUGGCCCGUCACACUGGGACUGAGACACUGCCCAGACACCUACGGGUGGCUGCAGUCGAGAAUCUUCGGCAAUGGACGAAAGUCUGACCGAGCGAUGCCGCGUGCGGGAUGAAGGCCCUCGGGUUGUAAACCGGUGAAGUAAGGAGGAAGGCGCUGUGAAGAGCAGCG
rnacentral:rRNA from 1 species